rnacentral:misc_RNA from 1 species
GGAAGGAUCAUUAUCAUAAAUACACAUAAACCACCUUUUUGUUUGAUUUAUACUUUAUUGUAUAUUCAAAUAAAAAGGUUGGUACACCAAUGUGAAUUCUAUAAAGUCUCUAACCUUAUUUUUUUCACAAAAAAACACCCCUUUUUUCCAAUACAAUUAAUUUUGUAUUUAGUCUGAUUUUUUUUUUUUGUUUCCUUCGAGAGUAGAGUGGAGUGAUGAUCCUUUGUCUGAGAAUAGUCUUAGGGCUUUCUUUAGACUUGUUUCUCUCUCUCACAGCUUAAGAAGGACUCAAGAGAAAACAACAAAAAAAACCAAAUACAAUCUUUAACGAUGGAUAUCUCGGCUCGUGUAACGAUGAAGAGCGCAGCAAAAUGCGAUAACUAGUGUGAAUUGCAGAAUUCUGUGAAUCAUCGAACUCUUGAACGCAUCCUGCGCCUGGGGGCUAUCCUCCAGGCACAUCUGUUUGAGUGUCAUUUUAUUCUCUAUUCUUUUCAAAGACAUGUUCUUUCGAAAAGAGACUUUGAUAGUGAAAAGAGAGUUGAUCAGUCACCCCCUUUCUCUAUUUAAAUGCAUUGACUAGUCAUUCUAUCUCACAGUUAAUGACUUCAACAACUUAGGUUCAAGGGUCUUUUUUUGACUCAAAGUCCUUAGUUGCAUUUUCUGUUUUUGAGAUGUUUGAUACUUAGUUUCAAAAGGAAUACACAAGUGAUAAGAAAAAAAGGUUCAUCCCUUUCUCUCAUUCACACUCAAUCUACACAUGACCUCAAAUCAGAUGGGAUUACCCCCUGAAUUUAAGCAUAUCAAUAAGGGGAGGAAAAGAAAGUAACCACGAUUCCCUCAGUAAAGGCGAUUGAACAGGGAAAAGCUCAAUCCGAAUCUAGCUGGUUUCCAGCUUGAAUUGUAGUUUUGUGAGUGUCUAUAUGGGAUGGCCUUGGUUUAAGUUACCUGGAACGGUACGCCAUAGAGGGUGACAGCCCCGUUUAUAACCAAGGAAUCUUCUCUAUCCAUAGAUACUUCAUAGAGUCGGACUAUUUGAUAGUAUAGUCCUAAGCGUGAGGUAAGUUCCUCAUAAAGCUAAAUAUGGACGCGAGACCGAUAGCGAACAAGUACCGUGAGGGAAAGAUGCAAAGAACUUUGAAAAGAGAGUUAAAAGUACUUGAAAUCUUUGGAGAGGAAGCAGUUGGAACCAGUGAUUGAUCAAGAUCGAUUCGCGAUCAAAAAGGUGAUCCAAUGUGUUGAAAGAGGUUUCUUUUGGGAUCCUUUCAAUAUGAAAGAUCAUUUUGGUGGUUGUUAUUUCGAUUUUGACGGAUCAGCAUCUAUGGGCUUUGGAAUGGAAUGGAUUGAAGAAGGUAACUUGGGGUUCUCUUCAAGUGAAUACUUUGAUCAAAAUAUUCUGAGGAUCCUAUAGAGGUCACAAGGUGGCGCUUGCGAGGUAAGUGGAUUCCUAAUGUGUUUCAAUGUGGGAGACUGCUUGCAGUGUCUUGUAUUGUUAAUAUAUUACCGAGUCUACUCCAUUUGCCACCUCAUGAUGCUGGUGAAAUGGUUCCUACUGACCCGUCUUGAAACACGGACCAAGGAGUCUAACAUAUGUGCGAGUCACUGAGUGAAAAACUUAGGGGCGUAAUGAAAGUGAAUAAAGGUGCCAUUCUAAAGUGAAAAUUCUUUGGAUGCAGCAUCGACCGAUCCAAUUCCCCUCUGUGGGAAUAGAUUUGAGUAGGAGCAUAUCUGUUGGGACCCGAAAGAUGGUGAACUAUGCCUGCAUAGGGUGAGGCCAGAAGAAAUUCUGGUGGAGGCUCGUAGCGAUACUGACGUGCAAAUCGUUCGUCAAAUGUGGGUAUAGCGGCGAAAGACUAAUCGAACCGUCUAGUAGCUGGUUUCCUC